CGGACGGGUGAGUAAUGUCUGGGAAACUGCCUGAUGGAGGGGGGUAACUACUGGAAACGGUAGCUAAUACCGCAUAACGUCGCAAGGCCAAAGAGGGGGACCUUAGGGCCUCUUGCCAUCGGAUGUGCCCAGAUGGGAUUAGCUAGUAGGUGGGGUAACGGCUCACCUAGGCGACGAUCCCUAGCUGGUCUGAGAGGAUGACCAGCCACACUGGAACUGAGACACGGUCCAG
rnacentral:rRNA from 1 species